rnacentral:rRNA from 1 species
AUUGAACGCUGGCGGCAUGCCUUACACAUGCAAGUCGAACGGCAGCACGGGUGCUUGCACCUGGUGGCGAGUGGCGAACGGGUGAGUAAUAUAUCGGAACGUACCUUAUUGUGGGGGAUAACGCAGCGAAAGCUGUGCUAAUACCGCAUAAUCCCUAAGGGGGAAAGCGGGGGACCGUAAGGCCUCGCGCAAUUAGAGCGGCCGAUACCUGAUUAGCUAGUUGGUGAGGUAAAGGCUCACCAAGGCAACGAUCAGUAGCUGGUCUGAGAGGACGAUCAGCCACACUGGGACUGAGACACGGCCCAGACUCCUACGGGAGGCAGCAGUGGGGAAUUUUGGACAAUGGGGGCAACCCUGAUCCAGCAAUGCCGCGUGAGUGAAGAAGGCCUUCGGAUUGUAAAGCUCUUUUGUCAGGGAAGAAACAGCAGCUCCAACACAGUUUGCGAAUGACGGUACCUGAAGAAUAAGCACCGGCUAACUACGUGCCAGCAGCCGCAGUAA